AAGAAUAUUCAGAAGACUGACACUACCUGACAUCAAGACUUACUGUAAAGCUACAGUAAUCAAGACAGUGUAGUAUUGGUGGGAAAAUAAACACAUAGGUCAAUGGAACA